rnacentral:rRNA from 1 species
AAAUCUGGCGCAAGCCCGAGUUGUAAUUUGUAGAGGAUGCUUCUGGGUAGCGGCCGGUCUAAGUUCCUUGGAACAGGACGUCAUAGAGGGUGAGAAUCCCGUAUGUGACUGGAUUGCACUCUCCACGGAGCUCCUUCGACGAGUCGAGUUGUUUGGGAGUGCAGCUCUAAAUGGGAGGAAAAUUUCUUCUAAAGCUAAAUACCGGCCAGAGACCGAUAGCGCACAAGUAGAGUGAUCGAAAGAUGAAAAGCACUUUGGAAAGAGAGUUAAAAAGCACGUGAAAAUGUUGAAAGGGAAGCGCCCGCAAUCAGACUUUGCGGCAGGGUUCGGCCGGUCUUCUGACCGGGUUUCUCGCUGUCCGGAGUACCUCAUCGUCUGGGACCGCUGGAUAAAACCUUAAGGAAAUGUCUCCCCCUCGGGGAGUUUUUAAACCUCUGGUGAUGCCUUUCCGCCCCUGGCAAGGACUUUUGAUUGGGAAUGUAUACUGCCGUAAUGCUGGGCGGGCGCCCCCCUCAGGGACCCUUGGCCUCAGCCGUAUAAAAUCAUUUCGAACCGUCUUUGUGCCUAACCACCUCCCAUGUAAUGAAGUUGACUCCAGGUGGGGACCUUUUUGGUCGCCCAUAGGGGGACACCCUAAAGGUCCUCACGAUCCGAUUCACGGUCAAGAACAGCUUUUGUUGUAACCCGACAAGAUCGGGACAAUUGUGUCUGGAGUCGGCGUGAGAGCCGGGUAAAACCGUCUGGUGCAGGCUCACACCGUUUUCCGAGCCAUUGCGAUCGGGCAAAUUUGCGUAUAGGGGCGCGAAUGGAAUAAUCGAGCAUUAGUACCUUGCUGGGCAAGAUUUCCCUCAGGUAUAGACACUAAGGGUUUUCAGACGUAUAUGAGG